rnacentral:rRNA from 1 species
AACGAACGAGGGCGGAAGGAGGAACACAUGCAAGUCGAACGAAGCCUUCGGGCUUAGUGGCGCACGGGUGCGUAACGCGUGGGAAUCUGCCCUUGGGUUCGGAAUAACAGUUAGAAAUGACUGCUAAUACCGGAUGAUGUCUUCGGACAAAAGAUUUAUCGCCCAAGGAUGAGCACGCGUCGGAUUAGCUAGUUGGUGAGGUAAAGGCUCACCAAGGCGACGAUCCGUAGCUGGUCUGAGAGGAUGAUCAGCCACACUGGGACUGAGACACGGCCCAGACUCCUACGGGAGGCAGCAGUGGGGAAUAUUGGACAAUGGGCGAAAGCCUGAUCCAGCAAUGCCGCGUGAGUGAUGAAGGCCUUAGGGUUGUAAAGCUCUUUUACCCGGGAUGAUAAUGACAGUACCGGGAGAAUAAGCCCCGGCUAACUCCGUG